rnacentral:rRNA from 1 species
AGAGCGAACGCUGGCGGCGUGCUUAACACAUGCAAGUCGAGUGCGCGUCCGUAGCAAUACGGAUGGCGCACGGCGCACGGGUGCGUAACACGUGGGCAAUCUGCCCUCGGAUGGGGGAUAACUCGCCGAAAGGCGAGCUAAUACCGCAUGACAUUCCCGGGACUCCGGUCCUGGGACUCAAAGGCCGCAAGGCCGUCUGAGGAGGAGCCCGCGCCCGAUUAGCUAGUUGGCAGGGUAACGGCCUACCAAGACUUUGAUCGUUAGC